rnacentral:rRNA from 1 species
GACGAACGCUGGCGGCGUGCUUAACACAUGCAAGUCGAACGGUGAAAGCGGAGCUUGCUCCGCUGGAUCAGUGGCGAACGGGUGAGUAACACGUGGGCAACCUGCCCCUCACUUCGGGAUAACUCCGGGAAACCGGGGCUAAUACCGGAUACGACCUCCUUGGGCAUCCUGGGAGGUGGAAAGUUUUUCGGUGAGGGAUGGGCCCGCGGCCUAUCAGCUUGUUGGUGAGGUAGUGGCUCACCAAGGCGACGACGGGUAGCCGGCCUGAGAGGGCGACCGGCCACACUGGGACUGAGACACGGCCCAGACUCCUACGGGAGGCAGCAGUGGGGAAUAUUGCGCAAUGGGCGAAAGCCUGACGCAGCAACGCCGCGUGCGGGAUGAAGGCCUUCGGGUUGUAAACCGCUUUCAGCAGGGAAGAAGCCGCAAGGUGACGGUACCUGCAGAAGAAGCACCGGCUAACUACGUGCCAGCAGCCGCGGUAA